UCACGUGGAUAAAAGCGCGGGAAGUUCAUCUAAGGGGUGAGGGAUACAAUCAGGGAGAAGAAAUGGGCGAUGAGGAUCUGGAGAUAGAGAAAGCAAGGUUACUUAGCUUGGCCCUCGAUUUCGGAUUCGACGAAGAAUCUUCCAAGAAGUGCUUGGAUCGUCUUGUUCAUCUAUACGGCGACGAUGGACGGGAUUUUAUCACUGUGGAGCACUGUGGUGAUGAUUUUCUUGCGGCGCUGGCUGAAUCGAUGCAAGGAAGUGAGGAUUGGGAUGAUUUACAAGCCAUGGAGUCAGAGGCUUGUGGAACUUUGGCUGACAUGUUUGACAAGAAUCUUCCCAACAAUUAUGUACCUUAUAAUGACAAAAAUGCAAAUAGCUAUGUCCAUGUUAUAGAAGACUCACCGGAGUCCCAGAAGCAUCCAGGUUUCACGCUGUUGGAUUCUUCAAGUGACAGUGAAGACUUGGAUAUCGCCCCCUCCUCCUGUCCUGAUAGGAGCAAUCAUGCCGUCUCACAAAGUUCACAUAAACAUCAUACAAUGCCAAUGGAUUCUAAGAGCAGCAGCAUCACUCAAGCUUCAGUUCCAUCCAGAUCCAAUAAAAUGACAUGCUCCAGAACUUCAAAAGAUGGAAAUGGAACUUUUAGUUAUGAAGAGUUACAGGCAUUGGAUGACAUUGAGUUGGCGAAUGUAGUAAUAUUCGGGAACCGGAACUUUCGGCCUUUGCAGCAUCAAGCUUGUAAAGCAUCUGUGGCAAAGCAGGAUAGCUUUAUUCUUAUGCCCACGGGAGGUGGUAAAAGUUUAUGUUACCAGCUUCCAGCUACUCUGCAACCAGGUGUUACAGUGGUAAUAUCCCCCCUCCUUUCACUCAUCCAGGAUCAGAUAAUAACACUGAACCUCAAAUUCGGAAUACCAGCAACUUUUUUAAAUUCUCAACAAACUACUUCACAAGCAGCUGCAGUCCUGCAAGAGUUAAGGCAAGAUAAACCAUCAUGCAAGCUUUUGUAUGUAACUCCUGAAAGGAUUGUUGGGAAUUUAUCAUUUCAUGAAGUUCUAAAAUGCCUGCAUCGGAAGGGACAACUAGCAGGAUUUGUUGUUGAUGAAGCACACUGCGUUAGCCAAUGGGGACAUGAUUUUCGUCCAGAUUAUAGGGGUCUAGGAAGUCUAAAGCAGAAUUUUCCAGAUGUUCCUGUGAUGGCUUUGACGGCCACUGCAACCAAGCCAGUUCGUGAGGACAUCAUAAAUGCUUUAAGGAUCCCACAUGCUCUUGUCCUUGAGACAAGCUUUGAUAGACCCAACUUAAAGUAUGAAGUGAUUGAGAAGACCAAGGAACCCCUAAAGCAGCUCGGAAAACUACUGAAUGAUCGUUUCAAGAAUUCGUGUGGAAUUGUGUACUGCCUUUCAAAAAGUGAAUGUGUAGAGGUCUCAAAGUUUUUGAAUGAGAAAUGUAAAAUUAAAACAGUAUAUUACCAUGCUGGUUUAGCAGCUCGGCAGAGGGUUUCCGUUCAAAACAAAUGGCACACAGGAGAGGUCCAUGUUGUGUGCGCUACUAUUGCUUUUGGGAUGGGGAUAGACAAACCUGAUGUUCGUUUUGUUGUCCACAAUACAUUGUCCAAAUCAAUUGAAAGCUAUUAUCAAGAAUCUGGAAGGGCAGGAAGAGAUAAUCUUCCAGCCUUGUGUGUUGCUCUAUACCAGAAGAAGGAUUUCAGUCGGGUUGUAUGCAUGUUACGAAGCGGGCAAGGAUACAAAAACGAAAGCUUUAAGACAGCCAUGGCUCAAGCUCGGAAAAUGCAACAGUACUGUGAACUUAAGGCUGAAUGUCGUAGACAAACAUUGCUUGAACACUUUGGAGAAUCAUUUGACCGAAAUGCCUGUAAAUAUGGUGCUAAUCCUUGUGACAACUGUCUCAAGGCUUCCUCCUGAAAGAGGCAUCUCUAAUUCUGGCUGAGGUAUAAUACAAAAAGGGUAGACACGUCAUCUCCCUAGGGUGCCUGAGCUCAUUCUUCUUUACGGUAUGCCUCACAUUUAUCGACCCCCUAGGUGCCAUACUGGCUGGAAGAAUAAGGAUUUAUCUUCUGUCGCCUGGCAUGCAAAGGCUUUUUAAGUGGCCUAUAUCAAUUGUCCAUGAAGAGGUGAGUCCUUUCUUCUUUGAUGAACUGUUGGCACCAGUCUUACAUUUUGUCUUUAUGCACCAAGGAGAAAGGGGGGCUCCACAAGAAGAGGAUUGUACCAUGAGACAAACAAGUUGCCAACCUCAUUCAAAUAUGCAAAUGCAAUGUAGUUGAACUCUCAUGUUCUAAUGCUAUGUAGUUGAACUCUCAUGUUCUAAUGCUAUGUAGUUGAACUCUCAUGUUCUGAUCAAGUUUGCCAUACAUUUCAAGUUAGAAAUUGCUUUAAAUUCCAAGCAUUUCACUCCAUUGAACUGUAUAUGUGUAUGACUGACUUAGCUUUCAUUUGAAAAGUUCAAGGAAGGGUUCUUGAACAGCCUUCGGACCAUUUGGCCAAUAUAAU